CUCCAGCACUCUACUGAGGCCAUUUUGUUAUUUGCGGUGCCUCCCUGCUGUGCUUCAAAGAGUGCCAUCGCCACUCUGUGGUCUCGAGCAAUGUCCCGCCCACAGCACUAUCUGAUUGGUUACACACCACAAGUAAUAGCCUGUCAACACUGAAGGAUGGGCAUGCUACUGUGCCACUGACAGUGCAGAGAGGCAUCCACAGACUGGAGCAGCUCCAGUGGGCAAGCGGAUUUGUGCUUCGAAGAUCAUGAACUCAGCCCCAACACACUGGAAACUCAUUUCCUGUCUCCACAGGCUGUCUGCUGCUCUUGAUUUCCCUCACCACUCCAACAACAUACAGCAACCUCAGUCAUUGACAAAGAGAGACUGGGCUUGUACUGGGCAGCGUCUUUUUUACUUAAUACAGUGUCCCUGGUGAGAAGGUAUCCAGGAGAAUGUGGGCGUGGCAGCCAGUCAGAUUCAGACCACCUGGGCCUAAUGCUCCCAGAGGAUAAAAGAUGAGCAACAACAAAAUGGAAGGAAAAACACUAGUUCUUCUCCAGAUGUCCCAUGGAGCUUCAGGAUCCACUGGGGCUUCAUCCAAGAGGACAGCUUGAAGAGAUGGCCCCCCCACUCUGAGUCCCAACUCCCCUUGGUUCCCUCCUUUAGUUCCACCACCAGCAUUGGUACAUCACCCUACACCUUCAUUUAUCUAUCCUCCACCCUUAUUCUCACCUUCAUCCCUUCAUCCCUUACCCUACACCCCUAUACCUUAAUUCUUCACUCUACAUCCCUCGUCCCUUCAUACCUUACCCUACAUCUGUCAUCCCUUCAUCCCUCGACCCUCAUUUCUUCAUCCCUCACCCCACAUCCCUCAUCCCUUCAUC